rnacentral:rRNA from 1 species
AACCGCGGUUAUACGAGGGGCCCAAGUUGAUAGAAUACGGCGUAAAGUGUGAUUAAAGAUAUUCCUACACUGGGGCCAAAUACCCCUUAUGCUGUCAUACGCCAUGGGGGUUAUGAAGCCCAACAACGAAAGUGGCCCCAUAAAUCUUGAACUCACUACAGCUAAGACA